GAAGUUGACUAAAACAGUCGCUGUUUAGUAUUUUAUGCUAAAGAGAGGAAAGUCCGGGCUCCAUAGAGCAAGGUGCCAGGUAACACCUGGAAAGUGUAAACUUAUGACUAGUGCAACAGAAAAAAAACCACCAAAUUUAAUAUCAUAUAUAUUUUAAAAAUGGAAAGGGUGAAAAGGUGUGGUAAGAGCACACCGCAUAAUUGGUAACAAUGUAUGGCAUGGUAAACUCCACCUGGAGCAAAGUCAAAUAUAGGUUAUUAUCACAGGUAUUGCUCGUACUAAAAAACCUGGGUAGACUGCUUGAAUUAGCAAGUAAUUGCUAAUCUAGAUGAAUGACUGUUUUAAAAACAGAACCCGGCUUAUCAGUCAACUUCUUAA
rnacentral:RNase_P_RNA from 1 species